GAUGAACGCUGGCGGCGUGCCUAACACAUGCAAGUCGAACGAAGCUUGACGGAUGAUUUCUUCGGAAUGAAACCAGAUAUGACUUAGUGGCGGACGGGUGAGUAACACGUGAGCAACCUGCCUUUCAGAGGGGGAUAACGGCUGGAAACGGUCGCUAAUACCGCAUGAUGUGUUCGGAUGGCAUCAUCUGAACAUCCAAGAUUUAUCGCUGAAAGAUGGGCUCGCGUCUGAUUAGAUAGUUGGUGGGGUAACGGCCUACCAAGUCUACGAUCAGUAGCCGGACUGAGAGGUUGAACGGCCACAUUGGGACUGAGAUACGGCCCAGACUCCUACGGGAGGCAGCAGUGGGGAAUAUUGCACAAUGGGGGAAACCCUGAUGCAGCAACGCCGCGUGAAGGAUGACGGUUUUCGGAUUGUAAACUUCUUUUCUUAGUGACGAAGACAGUGACGGUAGCUAAGGAAUAAGCAUCGGCUAACUACGUG
rnacentral:rRNA from 1 species